rnacentral:tRNA from 7 species
GCCGAUGUGGCUCAGGUGGUAGAGCAAUUGAUUCGUAAUCAAUAGGCCGGGAGUUCGAGUCUCCCCAUCGGCACCA